UACGUAGGGGGCUAGCGUUGUCCGGAUUUAUUGGGCGUAAAGAGCGUGUAGGCGGCUAGGUAGGUCCGUUGUGAAAACUCGAGCUCAACCUCGAGACGCCGGUGGAAACCAUCUAGCUAGAGUCCGGAAGAGGAGAGUGGAAUUCCUGGUGUAGUGGUGAAAUGCGUAGAUAUCGGGAGGAACACCAGUGGCGAAGGCGACUACCUGGCCUGUUCUUGACGCUGAGGCGCGAAAGCUAGGGGAGCAAACGGG
rnacentral:rRNA from 1 species